CCAAGCCAUUCAAUUUUCUUUUUUUUUAAAGGGGAGAUUUGUUAGUAGCUUAAGUAUUUAUAAUAAAUAUUAGUAAAUAAUGAGUAUGUGUGUCCAAUCACAAAUGGUGACUUCUCAACACUGAUUCAAUUUCCUAUGAAAACUAUUUUUGGCUCCCAUUACAAUACAUACAUCAUGACCCUAUAGCCACAGACAAACAGACGUGCCACUCGAUGACGAUUUCAUCGACCAGAAAAAUAACGAUUAUUUCGAAAUUUUGCUUAGUGGGUAAUAAUGCCGCUGGUGUCGCUACUGGUAUAUUUUGACAAUUAUAUUUCCAAAAAACUGGCAGCACGAUCACACCGUUUUUUUGUUAGCAUAACAACGUUAAGAUGGGUCGAAAGUGUGAGAUGGUUAUGUGCCCAAACAGAGAAGGAAAAACUAGUGGAAAAUCCUUUUUCGAAUUUCCGCAUAUAACGGAGAGGUGUGAGCUGUGGGUGAAACUCUGUGGCUCUUCCGAGCUGUCUUCCAAAUUUGAUGCUGAUGGCGUUCAAGCGAUGCGAAAACAUAAAAUAUGUUCAGACAUUUUCCAGUAUUUAUGCUAAAAAACCCUCUGCAAUCGAGUACAGGGCUUCUUAGCAAUGCUGCGCCAUUAGUAUCCGUAGUGCAAUCGGGAGGUACAAAUAGUGAGGAGCAGUAUUUAGAUAUCCUAGAAAUCGAACCCCAUGAAGCAGAAGAUCUGGUCUCGAGAGAAGAACCAAGGUAUAAAAUUCAUAUAAAAAAAUACAUCCACUUACGUACUUUUUCAUAGUUUUAACUGCAGCGUAAUACAGUGCCGAAAUACUGAAAAUAGUAGAGUAAAAUCAGCUGAUGAGCAAGUUAAUAAUAUUGAAAAUUUUG